rnacentral:tRNA from 1 species
GGACCCGUAGCUCAGCCAGGAUAGAGCGUCGGCCUCCUAAGCCGAAAGUCGGGGGUUCAAAUCCCCCCGGGUCCG